rnacentral:sRNA from 1 species
GCGGACGCUGGGGCCGAGGGUAGCUUGAGCGCGGCGGCGGCGUUGUUCAGUCAGAGCGAGAACAUUCCAGAGGUCGCCCAGCUCCGGCGCUGACGGGUGUGGACCGCGGACGUCGCUGGGACAGCCCCUCCCCGCUGCUCGGCGGCGGCACCUGGCCCGGCCGCUCCUCGCUGCGCUUCGCCUCCGCCUCCUCGGACUCGGACUCGGGUUUAUAUCGCGCCUCACUUCAUCCCAGUCCCGGGCGAGCAGCGUUGGGUUUAUGUCUUUAUUUGACGAAAACGAGCUGUUGCGCAGCCAUUGGUACCUGUAUUGGGGAAACAUAGCAUACAAGCAAGAAGCUUACAGCCUCAGUGGCGAAAAUUUUUUCAUGUCAGAGACCGAGAACUCUUGCAGUCGUUUAUGUCAUCCCUUCUUCUCCAGACAGAAGAUACCAAAAAGUUGCAAUCAAAGAUCUCUUCAUCUUAUUGAUAAAGUCACUAAUAAGCCAAAAUGUCUGUCAACGUCAACCGCAGCGUGUCAGACCAGUUCUAUCGCUACAAGAUGCCCCGUCUGAUUGCCAAGGUUGAGGGCAAAGGCAAUGGAAUCAAGACAGUUAUAGUCAACAUGGUUGACGUUGCAAAGGCGCUUAAUCGGCCUCCAACGUGUAAGUAAAGCUUGGAAAAGUCCAUAAAGGGCAUAUUAUGGAUAGAGUCUUCAAAGUCUUUGA